GCCCCUAAGGCAGCCGGGAGGGCCGCGGGCGUUUCACUAUGGCGACGGCGGGGGCUCCGCGGCGCUUCUGCCGCUGCGCCUGUUUCUGCACCGAGAACUUGUACGUGGCGCGCUAUGGGUUGCACGUGCGCUUUCGGGGCGAGCAGCAGCUGCGCCGGGACUACGGCCCGAUCCUGCGCAGCCGAGGCUGUGUCAGCACCGAGGACUUCCAGCAGCUGUUAGCAGAGCUUGAGCAGGAGGUGGAUCGGCGGCGGCGGCUGGGGCUGGAGUCAGCCGCUAGGAAAGCCCUCAUUGCAAGUUCCUACCGCCUGGCACGGCCUGAGGUGUACGACUCACUGCAGGAUGCAGCUCUGGCUCCUGAGUUUCUGGCUGUGGCUGAGUAUAGCGCAUCCGCAGGCGCAGACCUCAAGGGCCUUCUCCAGCGGCUGGAGACAGUAUCUGAGGAGAAGCGCAUCUACCGGGUGCCAGUGUUCACGGCGCCCUUCUGCCAGGCUCUGCUGGAGGAGCUGGAGCACUUCGAGCAGUCUGACAUGCCCAAGGGGAGGCCCAACACCAUGAAUACCUACGGGGUGCUGCUGCACGAGCUCGGGCUGGACGAGCCACUGGUGACCCCACUGCGGGAGCGCUUCCUGCAGCCGCUGAUGGCCCUGCUGUACCCUGACUGUGGCGGGGGCCAGCUCGACAGCCACCGGGCUUUUGUGGUCAAAUACGCACUGGGCCAGGAUCUCGAGCUGGGCUGCCACUAUGAUAAUGCCGAGCUCACCCUCAAUGUGGCCCUGGGCAAGGUCUUCACGGGGGGCGCCCUGUAUUUCGGGGGCCUCUUCCAGGUACCCACAGCCCUGACGGAACCCCUGGAGGUGGAGCACGUGGUAGGCCAGGGCAUCCUGCACCGGGGCGGCCAGCUUCACGGGGCCCGGCCCUUGGCCACUGGUGAGCGCUGGAACCUCGUCAUCUGGCUCCGCGCCUCUGCUGUGCGCAACCGCCUCUGUCCCAUGUGCUGCCGUGAGCCUGAUCUGGUGGACGACGAGGGCUUCGGCGAUGGCUUCACCCGAGAGGAGCCUGCCACAGUGGAUGUGUGUGCACUCACCUGAGCCUACUUGGACCCAGUGUGGGGGUGGCAGGGCAGCAGAGGCAUCACCCCCAGUGGACUCGGGUGGACCACCAGUAGCAUCUUCUAGAUGGCAGAGGAGUGAAUGGCAGGGCCGGGAACCAGGCUGCCCAGGGCACCGGGGACGCGAGUGCUGCGGGUGCGCGCCGAGAGGACAGCCUUGGAAGCGG